rnacentral:rRNA from 1 species
AGAGUUUGAUCCUGGCUCAGGAUGAACUCUAGCUACAGGCUUAACACAUGCAAGUCGAGGGGCAGCAUUUCAGUUUGCUUGCAAACUGGAGAUGGCGACCGGCGCACGGGUGAGUAACACGUAUCCAACCUGCCGAUAACUCGGGGAUAGCCUUUCGAAAGAAAGAUUAAUACCCGAUGGUAUAAUCAGACCGCAUGGUCUUGUUAUUAAAGAAUUUCGGUUAUCGAUGGGGAUGCGUUCCAUUAGGCAGUUGGUGAGGUAACGGCUCACCAAACCUUCGAUGGAUAGGGGUUCUGAGAGGAAGGUCCCCCACAUUGGAACUGAGACACGGUCCAAACUCCUACGGGAGGCAGCAGUGAGGAAUAUUGGUCAAUGGGCGCAGGCCUGAACCAGCCAAGUAGCGUGAAGGAUGACUGCCCUAUGGGUUGUAAACUUCUUUUAUAUGGGAAUAAAGUUUUCCACGUGUGGAAUUUUGUAUGUACCAUAUGAAUAAGGAUCGGCUAACUCCGUGCCAGCAGCCGCGGUAAUACGGAGGAUCCGAGCGUUAUCCGGAUUUAUUGGGUUUAAAGGGAGCGUAGGUGGACAGUUAAGUCAGUUGUGAAAGUUUGCGGCUCAACCGUAAAAUUGCAGUUGAUACUGGCUGUCUUGAGUACAGUAGAGGUGGGCGGAAUUCGUGGUGUAGCGGUGAAAUGCUUAGAUAUCACGAAGAACUCCGAUUGCGAAGGCAGCUCACUGGACUGCAACUGACACUGAUGCUCGAAAGUGUGGGUAUCAAACAGGAUUAGAUACCCUGGUAGUCCACACAGUAAACGAUGAAUACUCGCUGUUUGCGAUAUACAGUAAGCGGCCAAGCGAAAGCAUUAAGUAUUCCACCUGGGGAGUACGCCGGCAACGGUGAAACUCAAAGGAAUUGACGGGGGCCCGCACAAGCGGAGGAACAUGUGGUUUAAUUCGAUGAUACGCGAGGAACCUUACCCGGGCUUAAAUUGCAUUUGAAUAAUCUGGAAACAGGUUAGCCGCAAGGCAAAUGUGAAGGUGCUGCAUGGUUGUCGUCAGCUCGUGCCGUGAGGUGUCGGCUUAAGUGCCAUAACGAGCGCAACCCUUAUCUUUAGUUACUAACAGGUCAUGCUGAGGACUCUAGAGAGACUGCCGUCGUAAGAUGUGAGGAAGGUGGGGAUGACGUCAAAUCAGCACGGCCCUUACGUCCGGGGCUACACACGUGUUACAAUGGGGGGUACAGAAGGCAGCUACCUGGUGACAGGAUGCUAAUCCCAAAAGCCUCUCUCAGUUCGGAUCGAAGUCUGCAACCCGACUUCGUGAAGCUGGAUUCGCUAGUAAUCGCGCAUCAGCCACGGCGCGGUGAAUACGUUCCCGGGCCUUGCACACACCGCCCGUCAAG